UACAGAGGGUGCAAGCGUUAAUCGGAAUUACUGGGCGUAAAGCGUGCGUAGACGGUUAUGUAAGUCAGAUGUGAAAGCCCCGGGCUCAACCUGGGAAUUGCACCUGAAACUACCAGUCUUGAGUGGUGGAGAGGGAAGUGGAAUUCCUGGUGUAGAGGUGAAAUUCGUAGAUAUCAGGAGGAACACCAGUGGCGAAGGCGGCUUCCUGGACACCAACUGACGCUGAGACGCGAAAGCGUGGGGAGCAAACAGG
rnacentral:rRNA from 1 species